AGAGUUUGAUCCUGGCUCAGGACGAACGCUGGCGGCGUGCUUAACACAUGCAAGUCACGGGGGGCCCGCAAGGGUCAACCGGCGAACGGGUGCGUAACACGUGAGCGACCUGCCCAAUUGCGGGGGAUAGCCGGCCCAACGGCCGGGUAAUACCGCAUACGCUUCUUUGGGGGCAUCCCUGGGGAAGGAAACCUACGGGGCGAUUGGAGGGGCUCGCGGCCUAUCAGCUAGUUGGCGAGGUAACGGCUCACCAAGGCGAUGACGGGUAGCUGGUCUGAGAGGAUGGCCAGCCACAUUGGGACUGAGAGACGGCCCAGACUCCUACGGGAGGCAGCAGUGGGGAAUCUUGCGCAAUGGCCGAAAGGCUGACGCAGCGACGCCGCGUGGAGGAUGACGCCCUUCGGGGUGUAAACUCCUGUUGCCCGGGACGAAUGCCCCUUUUGAGGGGAGUGACGGUACCGGGUGAGGAAGCACCGGCUAACUCUGUGCCAGCAGCCGCGGUAAUACAGAGGGUGCGAGCGUUGUCCGGAAUCACUGGGCGUAAAGGGCGCGUAGGCGGCUCGGUAAGCGUGUGGUGAAAGCCCGGGGCUCAACCCCGGGUCGGCCAUGCGAACUGUCGAGCUGGAGCACGGUAGAGGCACAUGGAAUUCCGGGUGUAGCGGUGGAAUGCGUAGAGAUCCGGAAGAACACCGGUGGCGAAAGCGGUGUGCUGGGCCGUAGCUGACGCUGAGGCGCGACAGCGUGGGGAGCAAACAGGAUUAGAUACCCUGGUAGUCCACGCCGUAAACGAUGGGCACUAGGUCCUUGGGGGAGCGACCCCGUGAGGGCCGGCGCUAACGCAUUAAGUGCCCCGCCUGGGGAGUACGGCCGCAAGGCUGAAACUUAAAGGAAUUGACGG
rnacentral:rRNA from 1 species